rnacentral:rRNA from 1 species
GACGAACGCUGGCGGCGUGCUUAACACAUGCAAGUCGAACGGUAAGGCUCCAGCUUGCUGGGGUACACGAGUGGCGAACGGGUGAGUAACACGUGGGUGACCUGCCCUGCACUUCGGGAUAAGCCUGGGAAACUGGGUCUAAUACCGGAUAGGACCGCACCGUGAGGGUGUGGUGGAAAGUUUUUUCGGUGUGGGAUGGGCCCGCGGCCUAUCAGCUUGUUGGUGGGGUAAUGGCCUACCAAGGCGGCGACGGGUAGCCGGCCUGAGAGGGUGGACGGCCACAUUGGGACUGAGACACGGCCCAGACUCCUACGGGAGGCAGCAGUGGGGAAUGUUGCACAAUGGGCGGAAGCCUGAUGCAGCGACGCCGCGUGGGGGAUGACGGCCUUCGGGUUGUAAACUCCUUUCACCAUCGACGAAGGGUUUCUGACGGUAGAUGGAGAAGAAGCACCGGCUAACUACGUGCCAGCAGCCGCGGUAAUACGUAGGGUGCGAGCGUUGUCCGGAAUUACUGGGUGUAAAGAGCUCGUAGGUGGUUUGUCGCGUCGUCUGUGAAAUUCCGGGGCUUAACUCCGGGCGUGCAGGCGAUACGGGCAUAACUUGAGUACUGUAGGGGAGACUGGAAUUCCUGGUGUAGCGGUGAAAUGCGCAGAUAUCAGGAGGAACACCGGUGGCGAAGGCGGGUCUCUGGGCAGUAACUGACGCUGAGGAGCGAAAGCAUGGGGAGCGAACAGGAUUAGAUACCCUGGUAGUCCAUGCCGUAAACGGUGGGCGCUAGGUGUGGGUUUCCUUCCACGGGAUCCGUGCCGUAGCUAACGCAUUAUGCGCCCCGCCUGGGGAGUACGGCCGCAAGGCUAAAACUCAAAGGAAUUGACGGGGGCCCGCACAAGCGGCGGAGCAUGUGGAUUAAUUCGAUGCAACGCGAAGAACCUUACCUGGGCUUGACAUAUACAGGAUCGCGCCAGAGAUGGUGUUUCCCUUGUGGCUUGUAUACAGGUGGUGCAUGGUUGUCGUCAGCUCGUGUCGUGAGAUGUUGGGUUAAGUCCCGCAACGAGCGCAACCCUUGUCUUAUGUUGCCAGCACGUUGUGGUGGGGACUCGUAAGAAACUGCCGGGGUUAACUCGGAGGAAGGUGGGGAUGACGUCAAAUCAUCAUGCCCCUUAUGUCCAGGGCUUCACACAUGCUACAAUGGUCGGUACAGUGGGUUGCCAGUCCGUGAGGGCGAGCUAAUCCCGCAAAGCCGGUCUCAGUUCGGAUCGGGGUCUGCAACUCGACCCCGUGAAGUCGGAGUCGCUAGUAAUCGCAGAUCAGCAACGCUGCGGUGAAUACGUUCCCGGGCCU